GUGCUCCAACUCGCUGUUAAACCCGCGCCCGGGCCAGGGUUGUCGCAGCCCCACCCCUCGCCUGCAAGUUGGGGAAGUUCGUAUGGGAGGCAGCUGCGCUGGGCGGCCCGGGGCAUGGGGGUCACGGUGGACGUGCACCAGGUUUACAGAUACCCCUUCGAGCUGGUGGUGGCCAGCUACCUCCGCAAGUAUCCCAGUCCCAUGGAGAAACAUGUCACAGCUAUAAAAACCAUGGAAGAGAAAACAGAUUUGUCCACAGGGAUUAUUUACAGAAGGAGAAUUGCAACAUGUCAGAAUGUAAUUCCAGAAAUCUUAAGAAAGGUCAGUGUCUUAAAAGUGUCUGACAUCUACUUGGAGGAAGAAUCUUGGCUUAAUAUGCAGGAAAGAAAUAUGGUUAUGAAGUCUCAUUGCCUUACCUGGACACAAUAUGCAUCUCUAAGUGAAGAAUCUGUCUUCAGGGAAAGCUUGGAAAAUCCAAAUUGGACCGAGUUCAUUCAGAAAGGCAGGAUAUCCAUUACUGGAGCAGGGUUGCUCAACUGUGUAUUGGAAGCUUUUGCUCAAACCUUUCUAAAUCAAGGAGUCAAGAAGCAGCGACUUGAACUGAGCAAGAAUUUUCUCAGCUUGUCGAACAGAAGAAUACACAGGGUGAAAUCCUGAUCUCAUUGAAGACAAUGGCAAAACUCCCGUUAAUUUCAGUGGGGCCAAGAUUUCACCAACAGGAUCUGAACAUGUAGUAGCAAACAUUAUAUAUAGUCUGGUAGGGCGUACUCCAUUAGGGCUCUUCAUCCUUAGCACUGUAACAGCCCGAAUUGGUUAGCAUACAGGUGCGCUAUAAGGCCUGCUUUUUGUCCUUUGCCUGGUAUUGGGCUAGGGCUGGUUAGUGGUGACAUGAGGAGUGUACGGGGAGGCUAAUUUAUUGUUCUUGUCACUGACUUGUUUGACUUGAGCUGGGUUUCUUUGCUUAUUUAGCAUCUUUCCGAAAGAUUCAGGGGCUCCUAGAGCAUUGGAUUAUUAUAGUUUAGUAAACAUUUGAAUGAAUCAAUAAAAAGAACAGGCUAAUGUAUGUUGCCUAAGACAUUGCCUGUCCUGAGGAUUAACCCCCACUUCAGCAGUCAGUGACAAGUGUCCUGUGUCUUGCUCUGGUGUAGUCCUUUAGUGUAGACAGGGCAAGUGUCAUUUGUACUAGUAGUGUUUACCCCAGUUUCCAGCAGUGUUUAGCUGAUGAUCCUUUAUUAAAAAUAACGCCCAGCUCUUAUGCAUCAUGUUUCAUCCAUAGAGUUCAAAGCCUUUUACAACAAAGGUAAGCAUUAUCCCCAUUUUACAGAUGGAGAAACUGAGGCAGAGAGAAGUGAAAUGCCUUGGCAAAGUUCACCCAGCUAUUCAGUUGAAGAGCUGGGAAUAGAACCCAGAUCUGCUGAGUCCCAAUCCAGUGCUCUAGCCACUAGGCCAAAGUGCCUUCAGUGAGACUAGAAUGCUGUGGGCACAAUAUGAUGUAAACACUCCCCCUCCUCAUCUCCCCACAGCCCCUUAUGCACACACCAAACUAUAUAAUUGCACUGCUGCCCCAAUAAUGCUACAGACAAAAUUACAAUGGAAUUAUUGCCAUUUUAUAAUAAGGCAGUAAAUUGUUUUUUUUCCAGAUUUGACCGUCGUCCCAUUGUUUGGAUGACCUGAAGUUAAGUUAUCUGUGUGCAUGUUAUAGUGUCUGUUUUAAUACAUGUGAUAUAUAUGUAGGUUGUGAUUUGUCUGCAUUCUUUACAGGGUAUUAGAAUAAUGGAGACGCUUCUGCAGGAACAGUGUGGGUGCCCAUUUUCCUGAGAAGGAACGGAAGAAAAGUGUCAUCAGAGCAAUAUAUCUUAAUUGCUGUCUCAGUUUCCAGGGAAGUUAUCCAGAUUUUAUUGGUACCAUUUUAUUGAGGAAACAGAAUAUUCAAUAUGCACAGCUUGGCGAAAAGAUGACAAUAGUCUGUACAUCUUUCGGAUAAGAUUAAGGAAAGAUAUGUUGUUUAAAGGGACUCGGAUCCUGGAGAAGCAGCUGUAAAUGUGGAAAUAAGUCUUCAUGUGGAUUUUGAUGUAAUUUCCAGAGACUAAGCAUUCACUGAGAGAACCAACAUCAGCAAAAACAUAAAUAGCUCUUUUUGCUGUGGAGAGAUCUUCUACCAUGUCAGCCAGUGCACAGUUGUCUUGAGCCUUGCCAAGAGAGGUAUCAAUGAAUGUCCCCUAUUCGUUUGAAUGGUUUAUUUUGAAGCUUAGCUGUUAGGGGCAGUGAUUCUAUUCACAGAAUGCAGAAUCUAAUAAGAAAUGUGCCAUCACCGUUCCAUGCUGUUGUGUGGACUCUGCAUCUCUCUGCAGGCAUUUGGUAUUUCCAGUGUGUCUGCAAACCCUGAAAACAAACAACAAAUUGAAGCUUCCUUUGGAAAAAAUUGUCUAGUCCUUCUGAAUGUGAACUCAUGCAAAACUUCUCUGCUGAGCCUGUAGAAACAUGGAAACAGUAGUUCUGGGAGAUGUGACUACACCCAUGUGGAAUCGUCACCCACUGAGGAGAAACCUAGUGAUGGCAAUUUAAGUGUCAGCUUUGCUAAUUAUUUCACUGCUGAGACUUUAGCAGAAACAUCCAUCCGACGUGCCCGUGCCAGUGUGGUUGGAUUAAUUUCAAUGGAUGUCCCAUGGCUAGAAAGUUACAAGUUUUAAAGUGAAAAUAUUUGUUUGUCCCCGAAAUGUUUUUUUUUUUUUCCUUUGGUCCUGGUAGGGGCCAAUUGAGAAAUUUAAGGGGCUUAGAAGGUCUCUGAGUAAAAUUCUUAAGGGAAAAGAGAGCUUGCAUGGAUGAGGGAUUCAUUUUGAAAGAGCAAUUUUAUUUAAAACCUCUCAAAAAAAAAAAAAUACAAGUAAUUUAGGGCCAGAUUUGGAUACCCUUGCUCAUGCUGAACAAUACCUGUGUCCACAGAGUCCCACUGGAGUCAAUGGGUGUCAGGUGGUACUAAGUGCUUUCAGUUGAGCAUGAGUGUGAUUGUUUUUACUACUGAGGCCUUGGAGAGGAGAAAUGUUGGCAAAUCCACAUUACUGUGUACCAUGCCAGAGGAUCUUUAAUAUCCAUGCAGAACAGGCUGAGCCUCUGCUUUUAAGACCUUAUUGGAACAGCUCGGGGGAGAAAGGCGGGGGGGGGGAAGGUAGACCUAGUACACAUUUUUAAUGGCAAGAUCAACUAGCAAUAGAAUUAUUUGAUUAGGGAGAUACGGAGCUGUUGUUAGUGAUGCUUAACAGUCAGUUCAAUAAAGUUCUUGUAGCAACACUGUGGAGGCAAAUCUAAUUCAGUGUGAGGACAAUUGGAGUAGGUAAUUUGUCCUUUCCAACCCUAUCAGAUAUAGUUUUUGAUCAAAAUGGCUAAAGCAGCAUGGAGUAUAAUCACAUUGACUGUCUACAACCAGUAUAUCAAGACAUGUUUAACUCACUGCUUCCAGAAGUUAAGCAACUUUUCUGGUCAUCUGGAAAAUCGAAUAGAAUUUUGGGGGGCUUUUUUAGUCACAAAGUUUAAGGCACCCUAGGAUAUAAUCCAAUAUACUAGAGUCCAAUAACAACUUUUGUAACUUGUGAUUGGCCCGAAAAGGAAUUUGCUAACGAGGGGUUUCUCUUAUAUUUAAAAGUUUGAUGAAUGAUUCCUGAUGGCAUAUUGCAUCAUCCUAUCUAGGUAAUAUAAAUCCAAUCCCGCAGAGUACUCAAGAACAUGAGUAGUGGCGAGUAGUCCCAGUGUCUCCAAUAGGACUACUCGGGUGCCUAGAGUUAUAGACAUGCUUUCCUAGAUCUUAACCUUUAUGAAGUGAAGACAGAAACAGAAAUGAACAAAUAUGUUCUGCACAACUCUUAAAACAAACAAACUAAAAAAUUAAAAGCUACACUGCUGAAAAGCUGGGCCUUAACUUGUAAUUCAUAUAUUUCAGCAUGACAGAAAUCUGAUUGCUCAUUACACUAAAGGCAUGACAUAGAGCAUACUACUGAGGAAAGGGUAGACAUAAAAAGACAAGCAUUUGGAAGUGAGAAAGUGGGUUGAUAAAUUGGAAUACAAAGUGAUGUUUUCUAUAAUAAGUACACCUCUGUAAACUAAUUGUUCUGUUUUGAUUUUCAUUUUUGGAGUGGUGUAUUUUGAGUUUCUGCAUUGUUUAUAUUGUUCAGAGAGACUACCGAUCUUAACUAGGGCAUAUUUUGGCUUUGUCCCUAUAUAAUUUGGAAGUUUAUGAAUGAAUAAUUUUGAUACAGUAGGCAAACAAAAACUUAGAGGAUGACUCCGAUUGGACAACAUAGGAGAAAGACCAUGUAGUAAAAGACAUUUAUGUAUCCUGUUGGGUUCAAUGACAGUGAUGCAUCUGAUGAGCUAAUCUGUGGGGAUGACAGCUCUGCUUUUUUCCCUCUUGGCACUGUUUAUCCUGAGAUCAUAAUCAUGUAGAUAAUAUCAGUUUGUUGAAUAAACUAACAGAUUAUUUUAGAAGUACAGCAUUAAAUGUUUUCUGGAGAUUCAAAUAGGAAGAAUAUAUGGGAUCUAAUAGAAAAUCUUUCUUUAACCACCCAAAGGACUGGUUGGGAAAAAUAUCCAAAUAAUAAGUAACUUUUAGUCUAAUGUCCCGGUAUGAAAGUUUUUCUAGAUUGAGAAUAGUUGCUCAGAUAUAUUAUGGUGGUAGUGGUAUAUAAUACAUAGAUACGUUUGCAAACAUAUAGGCCAAGAUUGUCAAAGUCCUACUGUGUCCUUAGUAGGUCCCUAAAUAACUGGCUUGAUUCUCCCCCUCCCUUUAAGGAGCCUAAUUUUAUGCACUGCAGGGUCUGACUAAAGGCCUACUUUAGUCAGGGGAAAGAAAUAUAUUUGCUUUGGAUUGGGCCCCCAGUUUUAAUAACCUUGGCCAUAAGAACUCCCUAAAGUCAUGUUCCCUCAUAUUUGCAAAUUUUCCUCUCCUGGAUAGUGCUGCAUUUGCCAUCCAGUGAAACCUUUUAAAAAUUAAAUAUUUUUUUUCCUUACUCAAGACAAAUAUACCUGGGGCAAAAUAAUUUUGCUUACUUUUUCUCUGGAACUUUGUCAUUCUUGAUUAAGUCUGUGCUUCCAGGCAAUUUAGAAAUUCUCUUUAAGCGUUGCUUAUUGCAGUUUUUAUUACUGGUUAUUUUUAAAAUCUUUUUGUUCGUUUGUAGAUUACUCUAAAGCUCUAGGGGGAAGAGUUUUAUAUACAGUUAAACAAAUUUUGUUAAGGAACAAAAUAAACAAACAACUCACAAAACUAAUAGGAACAAUCCUAGGUAAAGUGAUAACUCUAAGCUCUCAGCAAUGAGAGUGUCUGUGGAGGUGAGGAAGGGCAAAUUGUAUUUCAGAAUGAAGGAGAUCAUUUAUCUUAACUAUAUUGUGUUUAUGAGCUUUGUCAUGGUAGGAUGAAAAUCUGUUAAUUUAAGAUAGCAGUAUGCACUCAGAACAUUUCAGAUAGCUUAAUGGCAGCAUUAGCAAUUAGCUAUCAGGGGUGUGUGUGUGUGUAAAAUUAUAAUUUUUUAGCCAAACCAGCUGCUAGUAUAGCAUAUAAAAGAAAAUCAUGUAUGUGGAACAAUGAGUCAGGGACUUUAUUUCAGCCAGGUAAUCCAUUAUCAGCUUAGCCAUAUGGUGAGGAAAGGUGCUAUAUAUUUUUUUAUAUAUAUUUUGAGUGUAUGAAUGUAUAUUAACUGUUGGAUACACAAUGUUUUUAUAUGCAAACUACUACACUGUGAAUAUUGAAUGUAUUAUCAUGCCAUUGUACAUAUGCUGUGUGAUUAUACAAAGGCUACUUGAACACAAAGGAAAUGUAAAAUGUCGGCUAACUACAACAGCAAAUGACAUCACUUCUCUGUACAACCUUGAAAUAGUGCACCUCAUUACAUUGCAAUUCUUUUAUAAAAUAAAAUGAUUAGAACUCCUG